AAUCCCCGCAGGCGCUGGGUCUGCAGAUGGCGUCCAGGUACACAGUGGCGAGUGUGAUUCCGCAGUCUUGGGCUGUUUGGCCAAGCGCCCGCCGGACAUGGUACGCCGAAGGGUCAUCGGCGUGGAGUCCUCGCUUUCAGCGUCCGCGGCUGGGAAAUCGGCCAUCGCUACGGCGGGAACUGGGACUCGGGCUGCGUCCCGGCCCUUCCACAUCGGUCCACCGCACUCGUGGGCGCCCGCAUUGGUGCUGACAUAAUUUCCUGACCUCUGACCCGUAUUGUCUCGCGAUUAAAGAGCUGCGCCUGGAUCCCUCAGCAGUGAGGAGACCUGAAGACCAGAGGAAACACAGCAAGGGCUCACCAGAGAAGACAGGGCAAGGUGAGGGGGAUCUCCUAGCAGAGGAAACAACAUGCGCCAAUCAAGCAAAGAUAUUUUUGUGCAUUCAAGGAACACAGAGAGGAAAGACAGUGGCAGAUGGAGACGUAUAAAGCAGGGAUCCUGUUAUGAAAAGCCCUAAAAAAUAGGGUAUAGAGUUUGGGCCAUAUUUCAGAGGUAAUAAGAAAGCAUUCUGCAUUUUUAAAGUAAGGUUUAAAAAUGUUUCUAAUUAGAGAUACAGCAAAGUUGGUGUGAGAGGAUAAAGACUGAUAUACAUAAUCUGAGGAGUUCAUGAAAAUUCCAUGUAAAGCCUGUAGUAUGAAUUGGUCCUAGGAGACAGACAGCUUCAGGGGCAUAGAGAACUUUAAGCACUUUUCCAAGAAGAGUGAAGGGCUGGAGAAUAAAUUGUGAACUAAAAUAUAUUUUGUGUUUGAGAACAUGAAGUACUUGAGAGUGAUUAUUACACGGUUUUAAGAAAAAACUAGUUCUUUUAAAUAAAACUUUUUUUUAGCUGAGCACAGUGGCUCACGCCUGUAAUCCCAGCACUUUGGGAGGCCGAGGCAGGCGGAUCACCUGAGGUCGGGAGUUCGAGAUCAG
rnacentral:lncRNA from 1 species